ACUUAAAUAGCUUAUUGAGCGUAGUGUUGAAGCUACUAAGGUUGUAUAUUUUACAUUUAAGUA
rnacentral:tRNA from 1 species